rnacentral:rRNA from 1 species
UAUUGCACAAUGGGGGAAACCCUGAUGCAGCGACGCCGCGUGAGUGAAGAAGUAUUUCGGUAUGUAAAGCUCUAUCAGCAGGGAAGCAAAAAGACGGUACCUGACUAAGAAGCCCCGGCCAACUACGUGCCAGCAGCCGCCGUAAUACGUAGGGGGCAAGCGUUAUCCGGAUUUACUGGGUGUAAAGGGCGCGUAGACGGCUGUGCAAGUCUGAAGUGAAAGCCCAGGGCUCAACCCUGGGACUGCUUUGGAAACUGUGGAGCUAGAGUGCUGGAGUACCGGAGAGGUAAGCGGAAUUCCUAGUGUAGCGGUGAAAUGCGUAGAUAUUAGGAGGAACACCAGUGGCGAAGGCGGCUUACUGGACGGUAACUGACGUUGAGGCUCGAAAGCGUGGGGAGCAAACAG